GAACGCACCUUGCACUCUUUGGUAUUCCGAAGAGUAUGCCUGUUUGAGUGUCAUUAAAUUCUCAAACCUCAACAAGUUUUGCGACUCGUUGAGGCUUUGGAUGUGGGGGUUGCUGGCUUUUACGAGUCAGCUCUCCUUAAAUGCAUUAGUGGUUACUGUUCGCUACAUCCUGGUGUGAUAAUAUCUACGCCUAGUAGUGAUGUUAAGUGUAGCUGCUUCAAACCGUCCAAGUAUUUGGACAAUUUGAACCAUUUGACCUCAAAUCAGGUAGGACUACCCGCUGAACUUAAG
rnacentral:misc_RNA from 1 species